rnacentral:misc_RNA from 1 species
AUCAUUUUGGCUAAUUACUGUUUUCCUUGCGUAUAAGCUCGGUUGGUGGUUAUUAGCCUUUUGGUUCCGGGGAUGUCUACCGUAAAGGUGCAUGAGUGGUGUUUGGUUUGUUACCGGUGGUUGGCUCUUUGCUUACGCAACCAACUUCCACCUGGCAUUCCUUUUCAGUUUUGUUUCAAUGCUUGUAUCGCGUUGAACGCACGAUGGGUUUCUUGUGUUUCAUGCCUAAUUGACGGUAUCGUUUGACGAAUCAAUAAUUUGUUUCGUCUUGUGUCGCACGUGCGAUGCGAGAUGAACCCUAAAGCAACCUUUGUGAUCCACAAUUUUGAUGCGUACGCAUGGAUAUUGUGGCUCAUUUAGUGUUCGCUUGGUCUCAUGGAUAUGGAACCUUGUGUGGGCAUGUGAUCUUUCACUAGAUCCUUGUUUGCCCAAGCUAAGCUUUUUCAAAUACGAUUUUCCCAUCACGUCUUGACGUGGUAGGACAUAUCGAAUAUGAAUGCUACCUGG